GACAUUUGGUAGAGACUGUUGAAGCCACCUUGUCCCAGCAGACCCCAGAAGGCAGCCACAUUCUCUGGUGCUGGGGCAGGGUCGUUAAGGGUGAAGCCUGGUGCCAGAUGUGU
ensembl:rRNA 5S_rRNA 5S ribosomal RNA